GAUGAAGAACGCAGCGAAAUGCGAUACUUGGUGUGAAUUGCAGAAUCCCGUGAACCAUUGAGUUUUUGAACGCAAGUUGCGCCCGAAGCCGUUAGGCCGAGGGCACGCCUGCCUGGGCGUCACACGUCGUUGCCCCCCCAUCUACUCCUUCGGGAUUGCGGGGGGCGGAUGAUGGCCUCCCGUGCGCCUCGUCGCGCGGUUGGCAUAAAUGCCAAGUCCUCGGCGACGCACGCCACGACAAUCGGUGGUUGCGAAACCUCGGUUGCCCGUCGUGUGCGGUCGUCGCGCAUCGAGGGCUCGAAAAAAUUGCCGGGCUCCGGCUCGACUUUCAACGCGACCCCAGGUCAGGCGGGGUUACCCGCUGAAUUUAAGCAUAUCAAUAAGCGGAGGA
rnacentral:misc_RNA from 1 species